UUAAGCGACUAAGCGUACACGGUGGAUGCCCUGGCAGUCAGAGGCGAUGAAGGACGUGCUAAUCUGCGAAAAGCGUCGGUAAGGUGAUAUGAACCGUUAUAACCGGCGAUGUCCGAAUGGGGAAACCCAGUGCAAUUCGUUGCACUAUCGUUAACUGAAUACAUAGGUUAACGAGGCGAACCGGGGGAACUGAAACAUCUAAGUACCCCGAGGAAAAGAAAUCAACCGAGAUUCCCCCAGUAGCGGCGAGCGAACGGGGAGCAGCCCAGAGUCUGAAUCAGCUUGUGUGUUAGUGGAACGGUCUGGAAAGUCCGACGGUACAGGGUGAUAGUCCCGUACACCAAAAUGCACAGGCUGUGAACUCGAAGAGUAGGGCGGGACACGUGGUAUCCUGUCUGAAUAUGGGGGGACCAUCCUCCAAGGCUAAAUACUCCUGACUGACCGAUAGUGAACCAGUACCGUGAGGGAAAGGCGAAAAGAACCCCGGCGAGGGGAGUGAAAAAGAACCUGAAACCGUGUACGUACAAGCAGUGGGAGCACCUUCGGGUGUGACUGCGUACCUUUUGUAUAAUGGGUCAGCGACUUAUAUUCUGUAGCAAGGUUAACCGUAUAGGGGAGCCGCAGGGAAACCGAGUCUUAACUGGGCGUUAAGUUGCAGGGUAUAGACCCGAAACCCGGUGAUCUAGCCAUGGGCAGGUUGAAGGUUGGGUAACACUAACUGGAGGACCGAACCGACUAAUGUUGAAAAAUUAGCGGAUGACUUGUGGCUGGGGGUGAAAGGCCAAUCAAACCGGGAGAUAGCUGGUUCUCCCCGAAAGCUAUUUAGGUAGCGCCUCGUGAAUUCAUCUUCGGGGGUAGAGCACUGUUUCGGCUAGGGGGUCAUCCCGACUUACCAACCCGAUGCAAACUACGAAUACCGAAGAAUGUUAUCACGGGAGACACACGGCGGGUGCUAACGUCCGUCGUGAAGAGGGAAACAACCCAGACCGCCAGCUAAGGUCCCAAAGUCAUGGUUAAGUGGGAAACGAUGUGGGAAGGCACAGACAGCCAGGAUGUUGGCUUAGAAGCAGCCAUCAUUUAAAGAAAGCGUAAUAGCUCACUGGUCGAGUCGGCCUGCGCGGAAGAUGUAACGGGGCUAAACCAUGCACCGAAGCUGCGGCAGCGACACUAUGUGUUGUUGGGUAGGGGAGCGUUCUGUAAGCCUGCGAAGGUGUGCUGUGAGGCAUGCUGGAGGUAUCAGAAGUGCGAAUGCUGACAUAAGUAACGAUAAAGCGGGUGAAAAGCCCGCUCGCCGGAAGACCAAGGGUUCCUGUCCAACGUUAAUCGGGGCAGGGUGAGUCGACCCCUAAGGCGAGGCCGAAAGGCGUAGUCGAUGGGAAACAGGUUAAUAUUCCUGUACUUGGUGUUACUGCGAAGGGGGGACGGAGAAGGCUAUGUUAGCCGGGCGACGGUUGUCCCGGUUUAAGCAUGUAGGCUGGUUGUCCAGGCAAAUCCGGAUAAUCAAGGCUGAGGUGUGAUGACGAGGCACUACGGUGCUGAAGUAACAAAUGCCCUGCUUCCAGGAAAAGCCUCUAAGCAUCAGGUAACAUCAAAUCGUACCCCAAACCGACACAGGUGGUCAGGUAGAGAAUACCAAGGCGCUUGAGAGAACUCGGGUGAAGGAACUAGGCAAAAUGGUGCCGUAACUUCGGGAGAAGGCACGCUGGUGUGUAGGUGAAGCCCCUGCGGGUGGAGCUGAGACCAGUCGAAGAUACCAGCUGGCUGCAACUGUUUAUUAAAAACACAGCACUGUGCAAACACGAAAGUGGACGUAUACGGUGUGACGCCUGCCCGGUGCCGGAAGGUUAAUUGAUGGGGUUAUCCGUAAGGAGAAGCUCUUGAUCGAAGCCCCGGUAAACGGCGGCCGUAACUAUAACGGUCCUAAGGUAGCGAAAUUCCUUGUCGGGUAAGUUCCGACCUGCACGAAUGGCGUAAUGAUGGCCAGGCUGUCUCCACCCGAGACUCAGUGAAAUUGAACUCGCUGUGAAGAUGCAGUGUACCCGCGGCAAGACGGAAAGACCCCGUGAACCUUUACUAUAGCUUGACACUGAACAUUGAGCCUUGAUGUGUAGGAUAGGUGGGAGGCUUUGAAGCGUGGACGCCAGUCUGCGUGGAGCCAACCUUGAAAUACCACCCUUUAAUGUUUGAUGUUCUAACGUUGGCCCCUGACCGGGGUUGCGGACAGUGUCUGGUGGGUAGUUUGACUGGGGCGGUCUCCUCCCAAAGCGUAACGGAGGAGCACGAAGGUUAGCUAAUCCUGGUCGGACAUCAGGAGGUUAGUGCAAUGGCAUAAGCUAGCUUGACUGCGAGCGUGACGGCGCGAGCAGGUGCGAAAGCAGGUCAUAGUGAUCCGGUGGUUCUGAAUGGAAGGGCCAUCGCUCAACGGAUAAAAGGUACUCCGGGGAUAACAGGCUGAUACCGCCCAAGAGUUCAUAUCGACGGCGGUGUUUGGCACCUCGAUGUCGGCUCAUCACAUCCUGGGGCUGAAGUAGGUCCCAAGGGUAUGGCUGUUCGCCAUUUAAAGUGGUACGCGAGCUGGGUUUAGAACGUCGUGAGACAGUUCGGUCCCUAUCUGCCGUGGGCGCUGGAGAAUUGAGGGGGGCUGCUCCUAGUACGAGAGGACCGGAGUGGACGCAUCACUGGUGUUCGGGUUGUCAUGCCAAUGGCACUGCCCGGUAGCUAAAUGCGGAAGAGAUAAGUGCUGAAAGCAUCUAAGCACGAAACUUGCCCCGAGAUGAGUUCUCCCUGAGACUUUAAGUCUCCUGAAGGAACGUUAAAGACGAUGACGUUGAUAGGCCGGGUGUGUAAGCGCAGCGAUGCGUUGAGCUAACCGGUACUAAUGAACCGUGAGGCUUAACCU
rnacentral:rRNA from 1 species